rnacentral:sRNA from 1 species
AUCAAAUGAGGACCUCCUAACUUUGUUUGAUAGAAAUCCUAAGACUUUUUCAUAAUAAUCUCCCAAAAAGACCACCCAAUCGGGCGGUCUUUUU